rnacentral:miRNA from 1 species
GAUUAGUCACGAUUAGUCGUCCGA